CUGGGAGUCAUUGAUUUUCACUAUAUGUACAUAUAGUAAAAACUUAAAAUACCUUCUUGUCUGCAGGUACAAGGCUUAGAGGUUUGAUAUUUGGUAUGUGUUAUUAUCUAUAGGUACUCUACCAAAGUUGUUCAAAUUUUGCCUCUAGUGUCAAAAUGAGCCCCACCCCGGGGGUCAUAGGUUUUUCAUAUAUGUAUAUAGUAAAAACUUCAAAAAAUCAUCUUCUCUAAAUUCACAAAGGCCAGAGGUUAGAUAUUUUGCAUGAAACAUUGUGUAGUGAACCUUUAGCAAGAUUGUACAAAUUAUAGCCCUGGGGUCAAAAUUGGCCCCGCCCUGGGGGGUCAUUGAUUUUCAAUAUGUACAUAUAGUAAAAAAUCAAAAAAAUCGUAUUGUCUGAAGGUACAAGGCUUAGAGCUUUGAUAUUUGGUAUAUGAUAUCAUGUAUAGGUACUCUACCAAAGUUGUUCAAAUUUUGCCUCUAGUGUCAAAACUAGCCCUGCCCUGGGGUCAUAGGUUUUCCUUACAUGUAUAUCCAUGUAGUAAAAACUUUAAAAAAUCAUCUUCUCGAAUUGACAAAGGCUAGAGGUGAGACAUUUUGCAGUAAACAUUGUGUAGUGAACCUUUAGCAAGAUUAUUCAAAUUAAAGCUCUGGGGUCAAAA